GAUGAACUCUGGCGGCGUGCCUAAUACAUGCAAGUCGAGCGAACGGACGAGAAGCUUGCUUCUCUGAUGUUAGCGGCGGACGGGUGAGUAACACGUGGAUAACCUACCUAUAAGACUGGGAUAACUUCGGGACACCGGAGCUAAUACCGGAUGAUAUUUUGAACCGCAUGGUUCAAAAGUGAAAGACGGUCUUGCUGUCACUUAUAGAUGGAUCCGCGCUGCAUUAGCUAGUUGGUAAGGUAAAGGCUUACCAAGGCAACGAUGCAUAGCCGACCUGAGAGGGUGAUCGGCCACACUGGAACUGAGACACGGUCCAGACUCCUACGGGAGGCAGCAGUAGGGAAUCCUCCGCAAUGGGCGAAAGCCUGACGGAGCAACGCCGCGUGAGUGAUGAAGGUCUUCGGAUCGUAAAACUCUGUUAUUAGGGAAGAACAUAUGUGUAAGUAACUGUGCACAUCUUGACGGUACCUAAUCAGAAAGCCACGGCUAACUACGUG
rnacentral:rRNA from 1 species